GACGGUAAGGGUGUUAUCCAAUUGAUCCAUGGGCAUCGGUGUAUUUCUGCAUCAUCAGAACUAAUUCUUGGCUUAAAUGUGGGUCUGAAAUUCCUCUGGAUUUUUAGGCUAACUGGAGCUCAGACGACAGUUUCAAACGUCUCGUUCUACUCUCUGCUCUGUGUUUUCUCCCUGAUGUGUUUCACCUGUUGUUAGGAGGAGGAGGAGCAGGAGGAGGGGAAAAAGACGCCGACGCCGUACUAGGGGAACAGGAGGAGGAGGAGGAGGAGGAGGAGGAGGAGAGAGGAGGAAGAGGGGCUCCUUCAGACAGACCCAGAGAACCAAAAGUGGCAGAUUGAGACGAUGUCGGCCCGGCGCCUCGCCAAUUCUCUGCCCCGCACCGGACGCAGACUUCACCCCCGUGGCCUCAGACAACACCAAAGCUCUCCUGAGCUGGAGGUGUACACAUAGCACGGCAGGCCCAGGAUGGCGACAUCCUUGCAGAGGCUCCCAAAGGAGAUGGAGGGAGGUUUGCUCCUCAACACGCUGACCUUCAUGUCCUGCGUGGCCUUUAUCCAGAAUGGAGCCUACGUAGACCAUGUGCAUCUUCAAAAUCUUUGCCACCAAAUGGGCCUUGCCGCAGGCCAGACUGCAGCAGCUGCUGAUCCCGGGGAAACUCACCCUGGACAAAGUGAAGAAUGAGGAUUUGGAGGCUGCGUCAGACUGUCCCCUACAAGUUGCAGAAUCAAGCUGCCCUCAUCCCGUCCCUGCCACCGCCACCCACCAAAUUGGAGGACUUUGGCCAGCCCCAGGAAGAGCGGUCUGUUGGAAGAAGAUAUGGGUCUGUUGGAGGCGUUGGAUCUGUCGGUGAAAGUGGAAGAGAAGGGUCUGUCAGACGAAAGUGAAGGAUCUUAUGGUUUGCCAGCUUACCAAGUGCAGGCUAAAGAAACUGUUCAACUGAAAAAAGAUGCACGUUUUAUUUGAAUUAGAGUGACACUGAAUGACCAAAGUAAAUGUUAAAUGUAAGAAAGUAAGUGUAUAAUGCAAUAUGUUAUAACAUAAUAGUUUAUAUAAUGGUAUAUAAUAGUUGUUAUUGCAUGCUGGAUGCUUGGAGUUGCGAUUUUUCCUCCCGUUGUCCUCAGUCCCUGGAAACUGAGCAUUGCACUGACGAGCUUUGUUCUGUAACUGUCUUUGUGAAUGUUUUAAUGUGCCCACAUGAACGCAGUCAGACUGAUAGCUAGUGGGAUUGCUGCGCUAGGUCCUGUCUAGACUCAGAGUCUACGGAAGGCUUUUCAAAGCUGAGCUGAAGUCGGAGGCAAGCACAGCUUGCUUAGGUCUGUAGCUCUCCACCCACAUCACAGAUCUGAUCCCCCUCUGCAUAGGUAAUGCCUAUAAUAAUGAUUGUUAGUAUUGUUGUUGUUAUUAUUAGGUCAAAGUCAUGUUCUUGUCUGUAGACACUUAUUUUGAGAAAAGUAUGUGUUUGCAUUGGU